rnacentral:rRNA from 1 species
ACGUGAGAGAAUGGUUACCGCGGCUGCUGGCACGGAGUUAGCCGGUGCUUCUUCUGUGAGUGAUGUCCUUCCUGCCGGUUAUUGACCCGCAGGCCUUCUUCCUCACUGAAAGUGCUUUACAACCCGAAGGCCUUCUUCACACACGCGGCAUGGCUGGAUCAGGGUUGCCCCCAUUGUCCAAUAUUCCCCACUGCUGCCUCCCGUAGGAGUCUGGGCCGUGUCUCAGUCCCAGUGUGGCUGAUCAUCCUCUCAGACCAGCUACGGAUCGUCGCCUUGGUGAGCCGUUACCUCACCAACCAGCUAAUCCGACAUAGGCUCAUCCGAUAGCGCGAGGCCCGAAGGUCCCCCGCUUUCCCCCGUAGGGCGUAUGCGGUAUUAGCCUGGGUUUCCCCAGGUUAUCCCCCACUACCGGGCAGAUUCCUAUGCAUUACUCACCCGUCCGCCGCUCGCCACCAGGGAGCAAGCUCCCCGUGCUGCCGCUCGACUUGCAUGUGUUAGGCCUGCCGCCAGCGUUCAAU